rnacentral:rRNA from 1 species
AUACGGAGGGUGCAAGCGUUACUCGGAAUCACUGGGCGUAAAGCGCGCGCAGGCGGCUAUUUAAGUUGGAUGUGAAAGCCUACGGCUCAACCGUAGAACUGCAUCCAAAACUAUUUAGCUAGAGUGUGGGAGAGGAAGAUGGAAUUAGUUGUGUAGGGGUAAAAUCCGUAGAGAUAACUAGGAAUACCAAAAGCGAAGGCAAUCUUCUGGAACACUACUGACGCUGAGGCGCGAGAGCGUGGGGAGCAAACGGGAUUAGAUACCCUAGUAGUCC